AAUCUAAUGCCGCCACUGAUCUGACAGGAGGAGCAGCUCAGGCAGUAAUGCUGGCUUGCCCACCCUCACCUGCUGCACAGCCUGGUUCCUAACAGGCCACAGACUGGUACUGAUUGGCAGCCUGGGGAUUGAGGGCCCUUGUGCUAGCUUGUCUACUUUGAGAGGGCCUGGGAGCAGUGAGAACCGAAUAGUGAUAAGUAAUGUAGUAUCCAGAUCUUGGUUUCUAAAUCCCAUACUCUGCUAAAAGAAAGCAGGGAUCUCUGGAGAAAGGGCUGAUUUGAGGCUUGGGACAGGGAAAGUAUGAACUGAGCCUGGAACAUCUUAAGCCAGAAAGAAAAGAAAGUUUCAAGAAUGAUGGGGGUAUGCAAAAGGCAACCUGCAGGCGCUACCACUAGCUAAAUCAGGGCCAGUAUGAACAUGUAAAUAAUGACAGCAGAUUAUAAUCCAAUAAAUAAAUUAGGGAAUCAUGAGUCCAUAGUGAUUUAAAUGAAUGAAUAAACUGCAAGUCUGAUGAAGAACAGGAUAACAUCCAUGGUCCCAAAUUGCCCUCCCGACAAAUACUUAUUAGUUACAAAGGAAAACAAGUAGCUUUACAAGCCUAGCUGGUAUCUCUAUUAGGAAAAAUCUAAAUUGUAUGCCACCUGAUAUGAUUCAAUAACAAGAAUAUAGUGUUAUUUCUGAGAUAUUCCUAUCAAAAGACACAUAACCUGAAUAUGAAAAAUUAUGCAUAACAUGCAUAACACAAAUAGGUAUAACAUGAAAAAACAGCAGACAACCAACAAUGAACAUUCUAUAAAAUAAUCAGCCUGUGAUCUUCAAAAGUGUCAAGGUCAUGAAUGUCAAGGAAAAAUCAAGUAAGUAUUCCAGAUUGAAGGUGACUAAGGACUCUUAUCAAUUAAAUGCAAUCUGUGAUCCUGAAUUGGAUCCUUUUUCUAUAAAGGACAUUAUUACAAUAACCAGUAGAACAUAAAGGGGAUCUAAGGACUGGAUGGUAGUAAUCAAUCAAUGUUAAUUUUCUGUUUUUGAUGACUGUAUUAUAGUUAUAUAGGAUGAUGCCCCUUUCUAUAGGAAAUACAGAUUAAAGUAUCUGUGGUGAUAGAGCAUCAUGUCAGCAACCUCCUCUCAAAUUGUUCAGAAAAAAAAAGUUCUCUUGCACUGAGGGAGGGAGGGAGGAAAUCAUUUCAUUAGAAUACAUGCUCUCCUUCUAACCUUCUCCCUUUUGUACCCCAGUGCCUUACAUGCAUUAGGUGCUCAACAAAUGCUUGUUGAUUUGUUGAAUGACAAAAAGGGAAAUCACUGUGGCUGCCAUGUGAAAUCACCUAAGAUGACAGCACAGAACUGGGAAGAAAAGAUGGCGUGAAACUUUAAAGGAUAGUGAAAGAAAGAGCUAGAAAAGAUUCUGCAACAUAGGGAAACAUAAGACCUCAAAAGCUUUCCUCUCUAAUGCAAAUUUAUCCCCGUCCAGAAGAUCUAUGGCAGAUAAUCUGACUUCUUGGUAACCUUCUUUCAAGUUCAGCAGAGUAUUUCUCCACAGCUAUACUACGACUGGCAUCAGAUACAUAAUGUGAAGCAUAAAAGAGAUGAAAUGAUUUUCCUGAUGUCAAAUAAGUGGUGCAGACAGUAUUCAAAUCAAGGUCUUUUAAAAAUCUCAAAAGC
rnacentral:lncRNA from 1 species